CCAACAAUCAUCCACGCGAUUAUCUAAUCAGCCAAUCAUGUGGCAGCAGUGCAGUGCAUACAAUUGAGCAGAUACGGGUCAGGAGCUUCAGUUAAUGGUUCAGUUAAUCCCCAUCAGAAUGGGGAAAAAAUUAUAUCUCAGUGAUUUGUAGUGUGGCAUGAUUGCUGGUGCCAGAUGGGCUGGUUUGAGUAUUUCUGUAACUGCUGAUCUCCUGGGAUUUUCACGCACAACAGUCUCUAGAAUUUGCUUUGAAUGGUGCCAAAAAAAAAAAAAAAAAAAACAUCCAGAGAGCAGCAGUUCUGUGGAUGGAAAUGCCUUGUUGAUGAGAGAGGUCAACAGAGAAUGGCCAAACUGGUUCAAACUGACAAAGUCUACGGUAAAUCAGAUAACCGCUCUGUACAAUUGUGGUGAGAAGAAUAACAUCUCAGAAUGCUAUUCUGAGAUGCGGGUUGGUGCUGUUUUGGCGGCAUGAGGGGGACCUACACAACAUUAGGCAGGUGGUUUUAAUGUUGUGACUGAUCGGUGUAUAUAUAUAUAUAUAUAUUAGUGGUCAACCGAUAUGGGUUUUUUAAUGGCCGAUGCUGAUAUCCAGAGAACAGGGUGGCCGAUAGGCCGAUACAUUGCCGAUAUUUAACACAAUUUAAUAUAGUAAUGUGACGAGGAGGAGGGCGUGGCCGGGCCAUGAUGUUGUACGACUGCCGCUGAAUCAGUUGAUCAGCGGGAGAGCGAGAUAAAGGGGAGCUGGAGGCGCCAGUUCGAGAGAGAGUGAAAUGCACGGGGUCGUGUUGCAUGUGUGUCUGUGUCCUUAUGUUUAUUGUUCAGCCGGUUCCCGCCUCCUCCUUGCACACCUUUGAACUGUUACAGUGGUGCCGAAACCCAGGAGGGAGGAGGGAUGCUCUGUCGCGGAGUCCUUGCCGCUGCCAUCCGCCAGGGGAGCAGCCGCGGCUGUCUGCCUGGGAACGGAGGGGUCGCUGCUGGCCGCCGAGAGCCGGAGGAACCGCUGCUGUCCGCUGAAGAAGGGAGGAGUGGUUCCGUCCACCAGGGGCCGGAGAACUCACUGCCGUCUGCCGGGGUAGGAGCGAGCUGGCGUCUGCCAGAGGGCAGAGGAGCAGUUGAGGACCGGGCGACAGCACGUCCGGGAGCCAAUGAGCAAGUUCUUCUCUCUCUCUCCUCUCUCUGUGUCUCCGCUCACCCUUUCCCUCUCCCUAAACCUCCCUUCGUCUCUCCCCCAGGUUCACAGGAGGCAGGGUGGACCACUGACUGACGGAACAGCCGGAAGAGCAGCGUCUCCCCUCCAGAAGUUGGGGGGAGUAAGUCAGUGUGGUGGCACCCUAGCCUGAAUCAGGCGGGGGAGGAGUGUGACGAAGAGGAGGGCGUGGCCGGGCCGUGAUGGUGCACGGCCGGCACUGAAUCAAAGCAUGUUGCUGCCACCACCAUGCUUCACCGUGGCCCUCACCUGAGCGAUACCUUUCAACAAUGAGAUCCCGUUGAUGCUUUGUAAGCUCUUUGUGGCCCAUGGCUCUUGUAGCAGCAUGCAACCAAGAAUAUGUCAGAAAAAUCCUACAAGAACAGGGGUGUGUAGACUUUUUAUAUCCACUGUACAUAUCCAGUGUGAGCAGCAGCAAUCUCCUGACAGUUUAAACGGCCUGGAUCGCCUGCUUGGAUUGUCAUCAUGAUUUGUGAAUCAGAGGAACUUUUGAUCCUGAUUCUGAAGUUUUUGAUUCUGGCUGAUAGAAUACUCGCUUCAGAGGAAGAUAUUAGAUGAGCGCUCGACUGGAAGAAAACGCUGGAUUUUUGUGAGGUUCAUGAAUUACAUCUGUUUAAAUGAAAUAUCUGCAUAUUUGCAGAUGGUAUAUAAUAGAAGUUUUAUUGAUAUUUGCCUUUUAUCAUUAGAAAAGUGACAGGGAACUGUUGAGAGACUGUUAGAAUACAUGCUUCAGAGGAAGAUUUAUAUUAGUUUGAUAGAUAUUUGCCUUUUUAUCAUUAGACAAGAGUUAAAAGGGAACUGUUGAGGAGAGAGAGGGAGAAAGAAACAGACGAGCACUUUAAUGUUAUGAGCUCAAACGCCGCUCUCAUACGCGAACCGUUUAAAUGACACUGUGUUGCACACCGGUCUAUUAUUGUAGUAACAUGAUGGCACGUAACAACAAAACGAACCAUGACUGGUCGUUUACAUGUCUCAGUCACUUCACAUGCAAGCAGUCAUUCUCGGCGCCCUCAAGAAACAAAUCGGCCAAAGGGGAUAAUUUAUCGGCCGAUGCGAUAAUGAAAAAAGUCAGAAUAUCGGCCCAUAUUCAGAUAUAUCGGUCGACCACUAUAUAUAUAUAUAUAUAUAUAACUUUUUAAAUGGCUAAGGAUUUAUACUAUCAUGUUACUAUUUAUUGUAAUGCCUUUAUAUCUUGCUGUUAAAUACAUAAAAUAAUUGUAUUACAAUAGUUCUUUACUGUUUUACAGCAAUUACAUUCUGAAGCAAAUCACUAUUGUUAAUAAUAGGAAAUACAAUAUAUAUAUAUAUAUAUA